UAUAUAAUACAAUAUUUUAAAAUAGUUAUAAAUAUAAGAAAUCUUAUUUUUAUUUAGUAUAGCAAUAGAAAUAUAAUUUAAAAUAUUAAAAAGUAAAUAUAU
rnacentral:rRNA from 1 species